AUUGAACGCUAACGGCGUGCUUAACACAUGCAAGUCGAACGGCAGCACAGCAGUAGCAAUACUGUGGGUGGCGAGUGGCGGACGGGUGAGUAAUGCAUAGGAAUCUGCCUUGUAAUGGGGGAUAACCCGGGGAAACUCGGGCUAAUACCGCAUAAUCUUUACGAAGCAAAGUGGGGGACCGUAAGGCCUCACGUUAUAAGAUGAGCCUAUGUUGGAUUAGCUAGUUGGUGGGGUAAAGGCCUACCAAGGCGACGAUCCAUAGCUGGUCUGAGGGGAUGAUCAGCCACACUGGGACUGAGACGCGGCCCAGACUCCUACGGGAGGCAGCAGUGGGGAAUAUUGGACAAUGGGGAAACCCUGAUCCAGCAACGCCGUGUGUGUGAAGAAGGCCUUAGGGUUGUAAAGCACUUUCAGUAGGGAAGAAAAGCUUAAGGGUAAUAUCCUUGAGUAUUGACGUUACCUACAGAAGAAGCACUGGCUAACUCUGUGCCAGCCGCCGCAGUAA
rnacentral:rRNA from 1 species